CCUACGGGAGGCAGCAGUAGGGAAUAUUGGACAAUGGGUGCGAGCCUGAUCCAGCCAUGCCGCGUGCAGGAAGACGGCCUUCUGGGUUGUAAACUGCUUUUGCCAGGGGAUAAAACGUCCAUGCGUGGAUAAUUGAAGGUACCUGGUGAAUAAGCCACGGCUAACUACGUGCCAGCAGCCGCGGUAAUACGUAGGUGGCAAGCGUUGUCCGGAUUUAUUGGGUUUAAAGGGUGCGUAGGCGGUUUUAUAAGUCAGUGGUGAAAUACAAUAGCUUAACUAUUGAGGUGCCAUUGAUACUGUAAGACUUGAGUACAGACGAGGUAGGCGGAAUUGACGGUGUAGCGGUGAAAUGCUUAGAUAUCGUCAAGAACACCGAUAGCGAAGGCAGCUUACUAGACUGUAACUGACGCUGAGGCACGAAAGUGUGGGGAUCAAACAGGAUUAGAUACCCUGGUAGUCCACACUGCAAACGAUGAUUACUCGAUGUUGGCGAUACACAGCCACGCGUCGUUAGUACGAAGACGAGUAAGUAAGUACCACCGUCGGGUAGGUACGGUUCCCGCCGACGGGUUAGGUUAAACGUUAAAGGUUAAGUUAGACGGCGUUGGAGACGUUGCCGACGGACGACGACGAGGGAGGAGG
rnacentral:rRNA from 1 species